rnacentral:rRNA from 1 species
CGACCGGCGCACGGGUGAGUAACGCGUAUGCAACCUACCUAUCAGAGGGGAAUAACCCGGCGAAAGUCGGACUAAUACCGCAUAAAACAGGGGCACCGCAUGGUGAUAUUUGUUAAAGAAAUUCGCUGAUAGAUGGGCAUGCGUUCCAUUAGGUAGUUGGUGAGGUAACGGCUCACCAAGCCGACGAUGGAUAGGGGAACUGAGAGGUUGGUCCCCCACACUGGUACUGAGACACGGACCAGACUCCUACGGGAGGCAGCAGUGAGGAAUAUUGGUCAAUGGGCGGGAGCCUGAACCAGCCAAGUCGCGUGAAGGGAAAAGAAGGAUCUAUGGUUCGUAAACUUCUUUUGCAGGGGAAUAAAGUGCAGGACGUGUCCUGUUUUGUAUGUACCCUGAGAAUAAGGAUCGGCUAACUCCGUGCCAGCAGCUGC